UACGUAGGUGGCAAGCGUUGUCCGGAUUUAUUGGGUUUAAAGGGUGCGUAGGCGGCCCUGUAAGUCAGUGCUGAAAUAUCCCGGCUUAACCGGGAGGGUGGCAUUGAUACUGCAGGGCUUGAGUGAAGUCGAGGUAGGCGGAAUUGACGGUGUAGCGGUGAAAUGCUUUGAUAUCGUCAAGAACACUGAUAGUGAAGACAGCUUACUAGGCUUAUACUGACGCUGAGGCACGAAAGUGUGGGGAUCAAACAGG
rnacentral:rRNA from 1 species